UAUCAAUGACGACAAAUAUCCCGAACCUGAAGGUCUGAUGAAAAAAACACACAGGUCUGACUGCUGCGAU